rnacentral:rRNA from 1 species
GAUGAACGCUGGCGGCGUGCCUAACACAUGCAAGUCGAGCGAUCUUCUUCGGAAGAGAGCGGCGGACGGGUGAGUAACGCGUGGGUAACCUGCCCUGUACACACGGAUAACAUACCGAAAGGUAUGCUAAUACGAGAUGAUAUGCUUUUAUCGCAUGGUAGAAGUAUCAAAGCUCCGGCGGUACAGGAUGGACCCGCGUCUGAUUAGCUAGUUGGUAAGGUAACGGCUUACCAAGGCGACGAUCAGUAGCCGACCUGAGAGGGUGAUCGGCCACAUUGGAACUGAGACACGGUCCAAACUCCUACGGGAGGCAGCAGUGGGGAAUAUUGCACAAUGGGCGAAAGCCUGAUGCAGCAACGCCGCGUGAGCGAUGAAGGCCUUCGGGUCGUAAAGUUCUGUCCUCAAGGAAGAUAAUGACGGUACUUGAGGAGGAAGCCCCGGCUAACUACGUGCCAGCAGCCGCCGUAA